GGUCGUGUAGUGUAGCGGUCAUCACAUCGGAUUCUGAUUAGUCAUUGGAAGUUCCGAUAACCCUGGUUCGAAUCCUGGCAUGACCU
rfam:Microsporum canis CBS 113480 supercont1.5 genomic scaffold, whole genome shotgun sequence.